rnacentral:rRNA from 1 species
GGAAGUUUAGCUUGCUAAAUGGACUCAUGGCGGACGGGUGAGUAACGCGUAAAGAACUUGCCCUUUAGACUGGGAUAACAGAGGGAAACUUCUGAUAAUACUGGAUAAGUUAGUAUAUCGCAUGAUAUGCAAAUGAAAGCUACGGCACUAAAGGAGAGCUUUGCGUCCUAUUAGCUAGUUGGUAAGGUAAGAGCUUACCAAGGCGAUGAUAGGUAGCCGGCCUGAGAGGGUGGACGGCCACAAGGGGACUGAGAUACGGCCCUUACUCCUACGGGAGGCAGCAGUGGGGAAUAUUGGACAAUGGAGGAAACUCUGAUCCAGCAAUUCUGUGUGUGUGAAGAAGGUUUUAGGACUGUAAAACACUUUUAGUAGGGAAGAAAAAAAUGACGGUACCUACAGAAGAAGCAACGGCUAAAUACGUGCCAGCAGCCGCGGUAAUACGUAUGUUGCGAGCGUUAUCCGGAAUUAUUGGGCUUAAAGGGCAUCUAGGCGGUAAGACAAGUUGAAGGUGAAAACCUGUGGCUCAACCAUAGGCUUGCCUACAAAACUGUUGAACUAGAGUACUGGAAAGGUGGGUGGAACUACACGAGUAGAGGUGAAAUUCGUAGAUAUGUGUAGGAAUGCCGAUGAUGAAGAUAACUCACUGGACAGAAACUGACGCUGAAGUGCGAAAGCUAGGGGAGCAAACAGGAUUAGAUACCCUGGUAGUCCUAGCUGUAAACGAUGAUCACUGGGUGUGGGGAUGCGAAGUCUCUGUGCCGAAGCAAAAGCGAUAAGUGAUCCGCCUGGGGAGUACGUUCGCAAGAAUGAAACUCAAAGGAAUUGACGGGGGCCCGCACAAGCGGUGGAGCAUGUGGUUUAAUUCGACGCAACGCGAGGAACCUUACCA